CGUACACACGCACCGUGGCUAUCACAGCUAAGGCAUGCAACCACUCGGCUAAAAUUUAGCACGCGGCGUCCCUAACACAUUGCGGGUUAUCAGUAACGCACAGUUUGCGCAGCACUCCGUUGUUGAUCAUCUGUCGGAAGUCGACGUCGCCUGACCACGGGCUGUCGACUAAUUUCACAGCCUCGCCCACUCUUCGUCACCCAACGAACGUCCGUCCAAGAACGCUAAACAAUGGGAGAUUCGUCUAUGUUCGAGUCUGCUAUGUCAAGCAAUGUGGAAAGUACAGCGAUGUCGGGGAGAACGAGAACCGGAGCACAGUUGCGGCUAUUGUACUCUGCCUGAUGUUCCUGGGGAUAGCCGGCCUGGUGCUCUUCCUCCUCGUUGGAUCGAGUGAUUCCGAGGACGAACAAAAUGAGUUCGGCAACAUCGACGGUGGUGGCGUUGGCGGCGGUGGUGGUGGUGGCGGUAGCAGCCUCCCUCUUCCGGUACCAGUUCCUAUAGGAGCUAAAACACCAGCCUCGACGACCACGCCUCCAUCAGUAGUACCAGCAAGUGUACCGAGAGGACCGGUACCUCCAUCUGGGGCACCAGUUCCGCAACAAGGGGGACCAGCGCCGCCA